rnacentral:rRNA from 1 species
UACGGAGGGUGCAAGCGUUGCUCGGAAUUAUUGGGCGUAAAGGGUAGGUAGGUGGUCUUAUUUGUCUGGGGUGAAAUCCUUGAGCUUAACUCAAGAAGUGCCCUAGAAACGGUAAGACUAGAGUUCUGGAGAGGGUCGUGGAAUUCCCGGUGUAGCGGUGAAAUGCGUAGAGAUCGGGAGGAACACCAGAGGCGAAAGCGGCGGCCUGGACAGAUACUGACACUCAACUACGAAAGCGUGGGGAGCAAACAGG